rnacentral:rRNA from 1 species
UACGUAGGGACCGAGCGUUGUCCGGAAUCAUUGGGCGUAAAGAGCGUGUAGGCGGCCAUUUAAGUCCUGCGUGAAAUCCUGCGGCUCAACCGCAGGCGGUCGUGGGAAACUGGGUGGCUAGAGUGCGGGAGAGGAGAGUGGAAUUCCUGGUGUAGCGGUGGAAUGCGCAGAUAUCAGGAAGAACACCCGUGGCGAAGGCGGCUCUCUGGAACGCAACUGACGCUGAGACGCGAAGGCGUGGGGAGCGAACAGG